AUUGACCGCUGGCGGCAGGCCUAACACAUGCAAGUCGAGCGAGCUGCGGACGGGUGAGUAAUGUCUGGGAACCUGCCUGAUGGAGGGGGAUAACUACUGGAAACGGUAGCUAAUACCGCAUACCAUCAGAUGUGCCCAGAUGGGAUUAGCUAGUAGGUGAGGUCACGGCUCACCUAGGCGACGAUCCCUAGCUGGUCUGAGAGGAUGACCAGCAAAACUGGAACUGAGACACGGUCCAGACUCCUACGGGAGGCAGCAGUGGGGAAUAUUGCACAAUGGGCGCAAGCCUGAUGCAGCCAGGCCGCGUGUGUGAAGAAGGCCUUCGGGUUGUAAAGCACUUUCAGCGGGGAGGCGUUACCCGCAGAAGAAGCACCGGCUAACUCCGUGCCAGCCGCCGCGGUAAUAC
rnacentral:rRNA from 1 species